CAAUAGCGUAUAUUAAAGUUGUUGCAGUUAAAAAGCUCGUAGUUGAAUUUUUGCUUGCCGCCGAUGUCGGAACUUCCGUACGUUCGGCGGCGUGCACCCUUGGGUGGAACCUGUGUGGCAUUAGGUUGUCGUGCAGGGGAUGCUCAUCGUUUACUGUGAAAAAAUUAGAGUGUUCAAAGCAGGCUUACGCCGUUGAAUAUAUUAGCAUGGAAUAAUAAGAUAGGACCUUGGUACUAUUUUGUUGGUUUGCGCACCGAGGUAAUGAUUAACAGGGACAGUUGGGGGUAUUCGUAUUCCAUUGUCAGAGGUGAAAUUCUUGGAUUUCUGGAAGACGAACUACUGCGAAAGCAUUUACCAAGGAUGUUUUCAUUAA
rnacentral:rRNA from 1 species